rnacentral:rRNA from 1 species
AUUGAACGCUGGCGGCAUGCUUUACACAUGCAAGUCGAACGGUAACAGGCCGCAAGGUGCUGACGAGUGGCGAACGGGUGAGUAAUGCAUCGGAACGUGCCCAGUCGUGGGGGAUAACGCAGCGAAAGCUGCGCUAAUACCGCAUACGAUCUAUGGAUGAAAGCGGGGGACCGUAAGGCCUCGCGCGAUUGGAGCGGCCGAUGUCAGAUUAGGUAGUUGGUGGGGUAAAGGCUCACCAAGCCGACGAUCUGUAGCAGGUCUGAGAGGACGACCCGCCACACUGGGAGGUAGACACGGCCCAGCCGCCUACGGGAGUCAGCAGUGGGGAAUUUUGGACAAUGGGCGCAAGCCUGAUCCAGCAAUGCCGCGUGCAGGAAGAAGGCCUUCGGGUUGCAAACUGCUUUUAUGCGGAACGAAAAGGCUCUGGUUAAUACCCGGGGCUCAUGACGGUACCGUAAGAAUAAGCACCGGCUAACUACGUGCCAGCCGCCGCCGUAAAAC